rnacentral:rRNA from 1 species
UAGAAGACAUCUGAAGGAGAUUAAAGAUUUAUCGGUGAUGGAUGGGGAUGCGUCUGAUUAGCUUGUUGGCGGGGUAACGGCCCACCAAGGCGACGAUCAGUAGGGGUUCUGAGAGGAAGGUCCCCCACAUUGGAACUGAGACACGGUCCAAACUCCUACGGGAGGCAGCAGUGAGGAAUAUUGGUCAAUGGACGAGAGUCUGAACCAGCCAAGUAGCGUGCAGGAUGACGGGCCCUAUGGGUUGUAAACUGCUUUUAUAAGGGAAUAAAGUGAGCCUCGUGAGGCUUUUUGCAUGUACCUUAUGAAUAAGGACCGGCUAAUUCCGUGCCAGCAGCCGCGGUAAUACGGAAGGUCCGGGCGUUAUCCGGAUUUAUUGGGUUUAAAGGGAGCGUAGGCCGGAGAUUAAGCGUGUUGUGAAAUGUAGACGCUCAACGUCUGCACUGCAGCGCGAACUGGUUUCCUUGAGUACGCACAAAGUGGGCGGAAUUCGUGGUGUAGCGGUGAAAUGCUUAGAUAUCACGAAGAACUCCGAUUGCGAAGGCAGCUCACUGGAGCGCAACUGACGCUGAAGCUCGAAAGUGCGGGUAUCGAACAGGAUUAGAUACCCUGGUAGUCCGCACGGUAAACGAUGGAUGCCCGCUGUUGGUCUGAAUAGGUCAGCGGCCAAGCGAAAGCAUUAAGCAUCCCACCUGGGGAGUAC